GGCUGAGAGUGUCCUGUCUUCCAAUAACCCAUUGUUCAGUGCAGUAUACUUGGUCUAAAAAUGAGCAUUUCAGAAAAGUCCUGUGAAAAGCAGAGUAAAUGCUCCAGCUCUGCACGUUUUGUGCGCAAGAAGUGAAAAACAGAGUACAGGCAAGGAUGUCCACGGCUGUCCGUGCAUGGAAGAACCUGUGAACAUUAAGUUUUCCAUAGUGCUCUCUGAUACCAGGUACUGCUGAUAAGCUGCUGCAGGGAAGGCACUGGGCUCCUGUCCGCGCCGAGGGCCUGUAGUGUGAGCACUGAGGAUACUGCCUGCCUCGCUGCCUCCAGGGGAAGGGAAGGACGAGCAAACCACCCCGAAUCCACACGAAGGAUUUCAAAGACCAACAAGGAAAUUAAAUGAGCUCUUGCCAGUGAAGCAUUUUUACUAAUGCCGCGCUCUGAAAACGUUGUGAGUUGCAUGAGGGGAGCUACAAAUGGUGUUUAAACGUCACAGGCAUACCGCACCAGGCAGCAAACUCUUCAUAUUCCAUUAGCGAAGCAAGCUGAGCCUGGUUUUUCCACUGCAGAUAAAAUUAAAGUGCUUUGGAAAUGAUGGUGUUUAUUCCAUAGGUCUUGACUCUAUAGUACUGGCUGUGUUCCCUUCUGGUCUGUUUGACCCACUGCAUGUUUUCGGCCCUUUGAGCAGCAGAACGAUUCUUGUCUUCUGGCUGAGAUAUAAAACAGAAGUCCUGCCUAUCUGUAAUCCAUUAGAGAUUUUGCGGUGCUGUUUGCAGCAGUAGGAGUGUGUUAAGGCUUUGGUUGUUCUGGAAAUAACACUGCUUUGCUCAGUUGCAUAUCGUAGUUCAGUCAAUCUAAAUCAAGCAAUCAUCAUCCUCUUCAGCCUCCUUCUAAAGCCUAAUUCAUGUGGGUUAUUUUAUACUUUAUACCUUCUUCCCCCACAGCAUACAAGAGCUUCACAGUAACGAGUGUUUUUUAUGCCCAGGGUGCUUCAAUAAGUUACAAGUCACUGUAAUACUCAUUUUUUACCUAGAUUCAAGGAGCACAGAGGCCAAGUAAAUAGCCUUAAGUCAACUAUGAAGUCUGCGGCAGCACAUUUGUGCCUCUGUUCUCCAAGUGAGCAAAACAGCCUUGAAGUUAGCAUACUAACAUGUUUCAGGAAAGUGAUGCAGUUCUCGUGAAUAAGGAAUUGAUGGAAAUGUCAAAAGUUUUAACCAUUAGUAUUUUCUUAACAAAAUUGAG